rnacentral:rRNA from 1 species
UGAGGAAUAUUGCGCAAUGGGGGCAACCCUGACGCAGCGACGCCGCGUGAGUGAGGAAGGCCUUCGGGUCGUAAAGCUCUGUCAAAGGGAAAGAAGUGUGCAAUGGCUAAUACCUGUUGCAUUUGACGGUACCCUUAAAGGAAGCACCGGCUAACUCCGUGCCAGCAGCCGCGGUAAUACGGAGGGUGCAAGCGUUGUGCGGAAUCACUGGGCGUAAAGGGCGCGCAGGCGGUUUGGUAAGUCAGAUGUGAAAGCCCAUGGCUUAACUGUGGAAGUGCAUUGGAAACUGUCAGACUUGAGUAUCGGAGGGGAAAGUGGAAUUCCCGGUGUAGAGGUGAAAUUCGUAGAGAUCGGGAGGAAUACCGGUGGCGAAGGCGACUUUCUGG